GCGGAUGUAGCCAAGUGGAUCAAGGCCAGU
rnacentral:tRNA from 1 species